GUGGGGAAUCUUGCGCAAUGGGCGAAAGCCUGACGCAGCCAUGCCGCGUGAAUAAUGAAGGUCUUAGGAUUGUAAAAUUCUUUCACCGGGGACGAUAAUGACGGUACCCGGAGAAGAAGCUCCGGCUAACUUCGUGCCAGCAGCCGCGGUAAUACGAAGGGGGCUAGCGUUGCUCGGAAUUACUGGGCGUAAAGGGCGCGUAGGCGGACAGCUUAGUCAGAGGUGAAAGCCCAGGGCUCAACCUUGGAAUUGCCUUUGAUACUGGCUGUCUUGAGUUUGGGAGAGGUGAGUGGAACUCCGAGUGUAGAGGUGAAAUUCGUAGAUAUUCGGAAGAACACCAGUGGCGAAGGCGACUCACUGGCCCAAUACUGACGCUGAGGCGCGAAAGCGUGGGGAGCAAACAGGAUUAGAUACCCUAGUAGUCC
rnacentral:rRNA from 1 species